rnacentral:rRNA from 1 species
CGGAUAAGGAGCUUGCUCCUUUGAAGUUAGCGGCGGACGGGUGAGUAACACGUGGGUAACCUACCUAUAAGACUGGAAUAACUUCGGGAAACCGGAGCUAAUGCCGGAUAACAUUUGGAACCGCAUGGUUCUAAAGUAAAAGAUGGUUUUGCUAUCACUUAUAGAUGGACCCGCGCCGUAUUAGCUAGUUGGUAAGGUAACGGCUUACCAAGGCAACGAUACGUAGCCGACCUGAGAGGGUGAUCGGCCACACUGGAACUGAGACACGGUCCAGACUCCUACGGGAGGCAGCAGUAGGGAAUCUUCCGCAAUGGACGAAAGUCUGACGGAGCAACGCCGCGUGAGUGAUGAAGGUUUUCGGAUCGUAAAACUCUGUUAUUAGGGAAGAACAAAUGUGUAAGUAACUGUGCACAUCUUGACGGUACCUAAUCAGAAAGCCACGGCUAACUACGUGCCAGCAGCCGCGGUAAUACGUAGGUGGCAAGCGUUAUCCGGAAUUAUUGGGCGUAAAGCGCGCGUAGGCGGUUUCUUAAGUCUGAUGUGAAAGCCCACGGCUCAACCGUGGAGGGUCAUUGGAAACUGGGAAACUUGAGUACAGAAGAGGAAAGUGGAAUUCCAUGUGUAGCGGUGAAAUGCGCAGAGAUAUGGAGGAACACCAGUGGCGAAGGCGACUUUCUGGUCUGUAACUGACGCUGAUGUGCGAAAGCGUGGGGGAUCAAACAGGAUUAGAUACCCUGGGUAGUCCACGCCGUAAACGAUGAGUGCUAAGUGUUAGGGGGGUUUCCGCCCCUUAGGUG